rnacentral:rRNA from 1 species
AUGGUGGCCGAGGAUGAUGAGGAUGGACAUAGAAGAUCUCAAGGGCUUCUUUGUAAUUUUUGUGCUUUUUUUUCUGCUCUUACUCCUGGACACCCGUACCUUCUCCACGUUUCCAGAAAAAUCUUGCCAGAGACUCACAGUCUGGCUACUGCUCCCGCGAUCAAAAUGGAACGCGACGGCGUGCAGAUCUUGUCCCGGCGCAUGGUCAAGCCAGAGCACCACGCGAGCUCGCGGCCGCCGGAGCCCGAGACCGUCCACCUCACGCCAUGGGACCUGCUGCGGAUCACUGUGGAGUACCUGCAGAAGGGCGUAGUCGUGCCCAAGCCUCCGGCCGGCAGCGCCCACGCCGUCGAACACCUUGCGUCGUCCUUCGCGCGCGCUCUGGCCCGCUUCUACCCACUCGCCGGCCGCUUCGCCGUCGCGCCCGUAGCCAGCGCGGACGCUCGGCCGGGCCUGACGAUCUCGAUCAGCUGCGACGACCAAGGCGCAGAGUUCGUCCACGCCGUGGCGCCCGGGGUCGCCGUCGCCGACAUCUCCGGCCCGCUCCGCGUCAUCCCGCGCGUGGUCUGGUCCUUCUUCCCUCUCAACGGGAUGCUCGGCGCGGACGCUGCCGUGGACCCCAGCCUGCCGCUCCUGGCCGUGCAGGUCACCGAGCUCGCCGACGGCGUCUUCGUCGCCAUGUCGCUCAACCACUGCGCCGCCGACGGGGAAACGCCGGUGGCCGUCCGGAGCGGCGCCGGGAACAAGGUGGACGGGUUGGUCUCGGUGUACGAGGGCAGCGAUGACGGCGGAAUGGAGCUGGAGGUGUGCCUCGCUCCUGGUGCGCUCGCCAAGCUCGUCGCCGACCAAGAGCUGAUGGACGCGUCGGUA